AUACUUACCUGGCAGGGGAGAUACCAUGAUCACGAAGGUGGUUUUCCCAGGACGAGGCUUAUCCAUUGCACUCUGGAUGUGCUGACCCCUGCGAUUUCCCCAAAAGUGGGAAACUCGACUGCAUAAUUUGUGGUAGUGGGGGACUGUGUUCGUGCUCUCCCCUG
rnacentral:snRNA from 1 species